UACGUAGGGUGCAAGCGUUAAUCGGAAUUACUGGGCGUAAAGCGCGCGUAGGUGGUUUGUUAAGUUGGAUGUGAAAGCCCCGGGCUCAACCUGGGAACUGCAUUUGUGACUGCAUGGCUAGAGUACGGUAGAGGGGGAUGGAAUUCCGCGUGUAGCAGUGAAAUGCGUAGAUAUGCGGAGGAACACCGAUGGCGAAGGCAAUCCCCUGGACCUGUACUGACGCUCAUGCACGAAAGCGUGGGGAGCAAACAGG
rnacentral:rRNA from 1 species